UACGUAGGGGGCAAGCGUUAUCCGGAUUUACUGGGUGUAAAGGGAGCGUAGACGGUACGCCAAGUCUGAAGUGAAAUGCCGCAGCUUAACUGCGGAACUGCUUUGGAAACUGGCGGGCUGGAGUGCGGGAGGGGUAAGCGGAAUUCCUAGUGUAGCGGUGAAAUGCUUAGAUAUCACGAAGAACUCCGAUUGCGAAGGCAGCUCACUAGACUGCAACUGACACUGAUGCUCGAAAGUGUGGGUAUCAAACAGG
rnacentral:rRNA from 1 species